rnacentral:rRNA from 1 species
GAUGAACGCUGGCGGCGUGCUUAACACAUGCAAGUCGAACGAACCUUCGGGUUAGUGGCGGACGGGUGAGUAACGCGUGGGAAUCUGCCCUCAGGAGGGGGAUAACGGUUGGAAACGGCCGCUAAUACCCCAUAUGCCGAGAGGUGAAAUGAAUUUCGCCUGAGGAUGAGCCCGCGUCUGAUUAGCUAGUUGGUGAGGUAAUGGCUCACCAAGGCAUCGAUCAGUAGCUGGUCUGAGAGGAUGAUCAGCCACACUGGGACUGAGACACGGCCCAGACUCCUACGGGAGGCAGCAGUGGGGAAUUUUCCGCAAUGGGCGCAAGCUGACGGAGCAACGCCGCGUGAGGGAUGAAGGCCUCUGGGCUGUAAACCUCUUUUCUCAAGGAAGAAGAUCUGACGGUACUUGAGGAAUAAGCCACGGCUAAUUCCGUGCCAGCAGCCGCGGUAAUACGGGAGUGGCAAGCGUUAUCCGGAAUUAUUGGGCGUAAAGCGUCCGCAGGCGGCUUUUCAAGUCUGCUGUUAAAACGUGGAGCUUAACUCCAUCAAGGCAGUGGAAACUGAUUGGCUUGAGUGUGGUAGGGGCAGAGGGAAUUCCCGGUGUAGCGGUGAAAUGCGUAGAUAUCGGGAAGAACACCAGUGGCGAAGGCGCUCUGCUGGGCCAUAACUGACGCUCAUGGACGAAAGCCAGGGGAGCGAAAGGGAUUAGAUACCCCUGUAGUCCUGGCCGUAAACGAUGAACACUAGGUGUCGGGGGAAUCGACCCCCUCGGUGUCGUAGCCAACGCGUUAAGUGUUCCGCCUGGGGAGUACGCACGCAAGUGUGAAACUCAAAGGAAUUGACGGGGGCCCGCACAAGCGGUGGAGUAUGUGGUUUAAUUCGAUGCAACGCGAAGAACCUUACCAGGGUUUGACAUCCUGCGAAUCUCUUGGAAACGAGAGAGUGCCUUUGGGAACGCAGUGACAGGUGGUGCAUGGCUGUCGUCAGCUCGUGUCGUGAGAUGUUGGGUUAAGUCCCGCAACGAGCGCAACCCACGUUUUUAGUUGCCAGCAUUCAGUUGGGCACUCUAGAGAGACCGCCGGUGAUAAACCGGAGGAAGGUGUGGAUGACGUCAAGUCAUCAUGCCCCUUACAUCCUGGGCUACACACGUACUACAAUGCUACGGACAAAGGGCAGCAAGUUCGCGAGGACAAGCAAAUCCCAUAAACCGUGGCUCAGUUCAGAUCGUAGGCUGCAACUCGCCUACGUGAAGAAGGAAUCGCUAGUAAUCGCAGGUCAGCAUACUGCGGUGAAUACGUUCCCGGGCCUUGUACACACCGCCCGUCACACCAUGGAAGUUGGCCACGCCCGAAGUCGUUACUCCAACCCUUGUGGAGGAGGACGCCGAAGGUGGGGCUGAUGACU